AGUUUUAAAGAUUAUGUUGCUUUAAAAGAGGGCCUCAGCCUGCUUAGUAGUUACUGGAGGGUGGAGUUAAGGAUUGUAGCUAGCCAGCUUGUUGCUCUGCUGCUAGAUUUAGGCUGAUGAUUUCUUCAAGGAACUGCCUCAGAUAAGAAAGCAGGAACAAAAAGCAGACAAUCCACUCCAGGCAGCAGGCAGUCAAGGCAAAGCAAAGCUCCUCUGGCUCUCUCUCUCUUCUCCCACAAGGCAGAAAGGCAGAAUAGUGGCUGGCUACGUCCUUACAUACAUUUGAAAAUCCCUCCUUCGAACUCCCCACCCCCACCCUUGUACACUUCUUUGACCCUUCCCCUAGCCAAUGCAGGGUCAGUCACCCCUGGUAACACAAGAUUUGAAUGGAAAUGAGCCCAUCUGGAACCAGGGGGGAAUCGCCAGCCAACUGUUGCACACUAGCCAGCAAGCAAGCCUUUUCAGUAUCUUCUCCAGCUCUCUCUUCUGUGUCCCCAUCCCUUGACCUUCAACCUAUAUCUAUUUGUUCCUUCCAACCAUCUCUUAAAGGAACCUGAUCCUCAUAUCUAGCAAUUUAGCUGCCAGGGUCAGGAGGAAAGGAGAAGAAUGGAGGAUAGCUCAGCUCUGCUCACCAGCUCAACCAUUCAACCAUUUCAACUACCAGGACUCUGUGGCUGAAUGAUCAGCUUGGCACUGCUCCUUCAGGAUUUAAACAGCUGCCUUCCCAAGCAGGCAGCAUCUGCCAUCUUAACUGUCAUGGCCAGUGGCUAAACAAAGGAAGCAGUUCAGCCUGGUUCUGCCAACGUGCCAGGACUUCAACAAGUGCUGCGACUUUACAUCCCUCCCUUUCCAGCCCGCAAAUUUGCCAAGGUGUUUGGGGAUUGCAGGUUUUUUAGAAUCCAUUUAAUAAAGGACCACUGUGAAUUGUCCCAAAUGUGUCUGCUCCAAACAUUCUGCUCUUAAACAAUAGUAAAAAGAAUGAUCAAACAUAUCUUUAAAAAAAUUCUGUUAAAUUAUUUUAUUUAAAAUAUUUGACAUAUGUUUAUCUCAGCCAUGAUGAUAAUCUUAUUUAUUUAUUUGAAAUAUUUCUAUACCGCCCAAAACCUGUGCCUUUGGGCGGUUUACAAUUAAAAUCAUUUAAAACAUCAAAUCAAUUAACAAUUAAAAUCAAUUACAACAAUAAAAAAUAAUAACAGUUAAAGAGAAACUAUGUUAGAAGUAUCUCUCAUUAGUUUUCUACAGGAAGGUCAA